GACGAACGCUGGCGGCGUGCUUAACACAUGCAAGUCGAACGGAAAGGCCCUGCUUUUGUGGGGUGCUCGAGUGGCGAACGGGUGAGUAACACGUGAGUAACCUGCCCUUGACUUUGGGAUAACUUCAGGAAACUGGGGCUAAUACCGGAUAGGAGCUCCUGCUGCAUGGUGGGGGUUGGAAAGUUUCGGCGGUUGGGGAUGGACUCGCGGCUUAUCAGCUUGUUGGUGGGGUAGUGGCUUACCAAGGCUUUGACGGGUAGCCGGCCUGAGAGGGUGACCGGGCCCGUUGUGAGGGCGAGCGCGCGCGGACACGAGCGGGGGGCAGAGGGGGGUGAUAGUGCACGAGGGGCGGAAGCGUGACGCAGCGCGGGCGGUGGGGCGACGACGGCCGUGGGGGUAGCAACCGGGUGAGAGUGGGAGGAAGCGGGGUUGGUGGAGAUGGAAAAAGAAGCACCGGCUACAUACGGGCCGGCAGCCGCGGGAAGAAUAGGAAGCGGCGCUGUUGAAC
rnacentral:rRNA from 1 species